rnacentral:rRNA from 1 species
GACGAACUGUCCUAACGUUGUUCGGAAUCACUGGGCUUAAAGGGCGCGUAGGCGGUCCGACAAGUCAGGGGUGAAAUCCUGGAGCUCAACUCCAGAACUGCCUUUGAUACUGAGGAUCUUGAGUUCGGGAGAGGUGAGUGGAACUGCGAGUGUAGAGGUGAAAUUCGUAGAUAUUCGCAAGAACACCAGUGGCGAAGGCGGCUCACUGGCCCGGUACUGACGCUGAGGUGCGAAAGCGUGGGGAGCAAACAGG